rnacentral:rRNA from 1 species
ACCGAGAUUCCCCCAGUAGCGGCGAGCGAACGGGGAGGAGCCCAGAGCCUGAAUCAGUGUGUGUGUUAGUGGAAGCGUCUGGAAAGGCGCGCGAUACAGGGUGACAGCCCCGUACACAAAAAUGCACAUACUGUGAGCUCGAUGAGUAGGGCGGGACACGUGGUAUCCUGUCUGAAUAUGGGGGGACCAUCCUCCAAGGCUAAAUACUCCUGACUGACCGAUAGUGAACCAGUACCGUGAGGGAAAGGCGAAAAGAACCCCGGCGAGGGGAGUGAAAAAGAACCUGAAACCGUGUACGUACAAGCAGUGGGAGCCUCUUUUAUGGGGUGACUGCGUACCUUUUGUAUAAUGGGUCAGCGACUUAUAUUCUGUAGCAAGGUUAACCGAAUAGGGGAGCCGAAGGGAAACCGAGUCUUAACUGGGCGUUAAGUUGCAGGGUAUAGACCCGAAACCCGGUGAUCUAGCCAUGGGCAGGUUGAAGGUUGGGUAACACUAACUGGAGGACCGAACCGACUAAUGUUGAAAAAUUAGCGGAUGACUUGUGGCUGGGGGUGAAAGGCCAAUCAAACCGGGAGAUAGCUGGUUCUCCCCGAAAGCUAUUUAGGUAGCGCCUCGUGAAUUCAUCUCCGGGGGUAGAGCACUGUUUCGGCAAGGGGGUCAUCCCGACUUACCAACCCGAUGCAAACUGCGAAUACCGGAGAAUGUUAUCACGGGAGACACACGGCGGGUGCUAACGUCCGUCGUGAAGAGGGAAACAACCCAGACCGCCAGCUAAGGUCCCAAAGUCAUGGUUAAGUGGGAAACGAUGUGGGAAGGCCCAGACAGCCAGGAUGUUGGCUUAGAAGCAGCCAUCAUUUAAAGAAAGCGUAAUAGCUCACUGGUCGAGUCGGCCUGCGCGGAAGAUGUAACGGGGCUAAACCAUG